CCCCUAGAUGUUCUGGGCCGCACGCGCGCUACACUGAACAGUUCAACAAGUCUUAACCUUGGCCGAUAGGUCUGGGUAAUCUUUGAACGCUGUUCGUGAUUGGGAUAGACCUUUGCAAUUAUGGGUCUUCAACGAGGAAUUCCUAGUAAACGCAAGUCAUCAGCUUGCAUUGAUUACGUCCCUGCCCUUCGUACACACCACCCGUCGCACCUACCGAUUGAAUGGUCCGGUGAAAUCUCGGGACGGCGGCUUGGUCGCUUGCGUCCGACUGCUGAAACUUGAUUAAACCAUAUCAUUUAGAGGAAGGUGAAGUCGUAACA
rnacentral:rRNA from 1 species